AGUCGGGGAGCCACCAGGCUGAGAACGCAAUGCGUGACCCGUUGAACCUGAUGCAGUUAGCACUGACGUAGGGAACUAUG
rnacentral:ncRNA from 1 species